UUGAAUCUAUCGUGCCCACACCGCGAAAUUACUUAUGCCCUUCUGGAGUAGGCAAGCUUGCUAGUUUGCCCUUCAGCUGCGCAGGUCGGGGGCUGGCUCCUUUUGGUGUCAGUUGACUCGACUGGGCGGGUCCAAUACCAGCCGGAUUCCUCACGCCUCUAGGCUGUGGGGUUCUGCCGACUGUGAGGGGUGGCUGUUCAACUCAUUAAAGCAAUCAACUUUGAAGGCAGAUCUAUAGGCUGGCUUUGCUGGCUAUAGACUGAUCAAUAUCAGACAACUCUCAACAACGGAUAUCUUGGCUCCCGUAACGAUGAAGAACGCAGCGAAAUGCGAUACGUAGUGUGAAUUGCAGAAUUCCGUGAACCAUCGAAUCUUUGAACGCAAAUUGCGCUCGAGGCCUCGGCCAAGAGCAUGUCUGCCUCAGCGUCGGCUACUACCCUCAACCUACUUUCCUAUUUUGAUGGGGAUGUUUCUUGUCCUUAAAGGGGAAGUUUCCUAUUUUAUAGGAGAUUUUUCUCGUUUUGACAGGAAAUAUUUCCUGUUCUUUAUGGGGGAGGCCGGUUGGAUCUGGCCGUCCGGAUUGCCUUUCAGGCUGCCGGUUGGCUGAAAUACAUUCACGCUCUGGGGGUUGCUUUCCUUUCAAGGAGAGACGAGUUCCGAUUUGGUAGGUGACCUUUGCCGGUUGCAUGCCUUCGUUGCYUGUUAGGCUUCCCAGUAUGCGUUGUGCAGGACGCCUUUUGG
rnacentral:rRNA from 1 species